rnacentral:rRNA from 1 species
UACAGAGGUCUCAAGCGUUGUUCGGAUUCAUUGGGCGUAAAGGGUGCGUAGGUGGCAUGGUCAGUCGGAUGUGAAAUCCCGGGGCUCAACCCCGGAACCUGCAUUCGAUACUGCCGCGCUAGAGUACUGGAGAGGAGAUUGGAAUUUACGGUGUAGCAGUUGAAAUGCGUAGAUAUCGUAAGGAAGACCAGUGGCGAAGGCGGAUCUCUGGACAGUUACUGACACUGAGGCACGAAGGCCAGGGGAGCAAACGGG